rnacentral:lncRNA from 1 species
UUCGACUUGUGUUGACAAGUCGUUCUCCUUUUUUCUACUCCUUUCUGUCCCUUCGGAAUUAAGAGUGUUCUUAAGACCAUAAUCCAUCGUCGGUUUAUUAUCCUUUUGGAAAUAAGAAUGGUCUUAAGAGCAUAGUCCCUUCAAUUAUUUAUGUCUCUUUAGAAUAAAUAAUAUUUUAAGAUCAUGGUCCCUUUUUCGGUAUAAUAAAGAUGAUCUUAAAUAUAUAUUCUUCUUCAAUUCUUGGAGAAGUUGGAUGUUAGAAUGGUAGCAAUAUCAUAUAUG